rnacentral:rRNA from 1 species
UAGGGAAUCUUCCGCAAUGGACGAAAGUCUGACGGAGCAACGCCGCGUGAGUGAUGAAGGUUUUCGGAUCGUAAAGCUCUGUUGUUAGGGAAGAACAAGUGCCGUUCAAAUAGGGCGGCACCUUGACGGUACCUAACCAGAAAGCCACGGCUAACUACGUGCCAGCAGCCGCGGUAAUACGUAGGUGGCAAGCGUUGUCCGGAAUUAUUGGGCGUAAAGGGCUCGCAGGCGGUUUCUUAAGUCUGAUGUGAAAGCCCCCGGCUCAACCGGGGAGGGUCAUUGGAAACUGGGGAAAUUGAGUGCAGAAGAGGAGAGUGGAAUUCCACGUGUAGCGGUGAAAUGCGUAGAGAUGUGGAGGAACACCAGUGGCGAAGGCGACUCUCUGGUCUGUAACUGACGCUGAGGAGCGAAAGCGUGGGGAGCGAACA